UCCGGUUUCGCACCGGCGGUCUUCCUAGAGUCCCCGACAUUACUCGCUGGCAACUAGGAACGGGGGUUGCGCUCGUUGCGGGACUUAACCCAACACCUCACGGCACGAGCUGACGACAGCCAUGCAGCACCUGUACAAAUGCCCUUGCGGGAGGGGUACUUUCAUACCCCGUCAUUUGCAUUUCAAGCCUAGGUAAGGUUCUUCGCGUUGCAUCGAAUUAAACCACAUGCUCCACUGCUUGUGCGGGCCCCCGUCAAUUCCUUUGAGUUUCAACCUUGCGAUCGUACUCCCCAGGUGGAAUACUUAAUGCGUUAGCUGCGGCACUGACCCUAAAAGGGCCAACACCUAGUAUUCAUCGUUUACAGCGUGGACUAC
rnacentral:misc_RNA from 1 species